CCUACGGGUGGCAGCAGUGAGGAAUAUUGGUCAAUGGACGGAAGGCUGAACCAGCCAAGCCGCGUGCAGGACGAAGGUGCCAAGCAUUGUAAACUUCUUUUGUCCAGGGGCAAAAUCAAGCGCGAGUACCUGACUGAGAGUACUUGACGAAAAAGCAUCGGCUAACUCCGUGCCAGCAGCCGCGGUAAUACGGGGGAUUCAAGCGUUAUCCGGAUUUAUUGGGUUUAAGGGGUGCGUAGGCGGACUGUUAAGUCAGCGGGAAAAGCCCGGGGUUAAACCCCGGAGAGCCGUUGAAACUGGUUGUCUAGAGAGGUGGAGAGGUAGGCGGAAUGCGCAGUGUAGCGGUGAAAUGCUUAGAGAUCGAGCAGAACACCGAUUGCGAAGGCAGCAUACCGGUCGCGAUCUGACGCUGAGGCACGAAAGCGUGGGUAGCGAACAGGAUUAGAUACCCCUGUAGUC
rnacentral:rRNA from 1 species